rnacentral:misc_RNA from 1 species
UUUCCGUUGGUGAACCAGCGGAAGGAUCAUUAAUGAGAUCAUGCCCUUCGGGGUAGACCUCCCACCCUGUGUUAUUUACGAUUGUUGCUUUGGCAGGUCGCCUUCGGGCACUCGGCUCCGGCUGAGGUGCGCCUGCCAGAGGACCCCAACUCUGUGUUUAGUGUCGUCUGAGUACUAUUUUAAUACGUUAAAACUUUCAACAACGGAUCUCUUGGUUCUGGCAUCGAUGAGAAGCAGC